UUCAUGCAAUUCGCAGUCAGUUUCUGGAAUUAGUAACGCUUGCGAUGUAAAAUUUGUCAAUGAAACACUAACAUGACAAGAAAGUGAACUUUUAAAACGAGUCCAUCGUUGUAGUCUAUAACACUGACAAGUCCGAAGAGCAAAUUGUGGAAAAGUUUUUUUAGGGUUGCCAUCGACUGACUGACUGCCAGCCUCCGAAUAUUAAUUUCUACCAUCAAACAGGCAUAGCUAUUAUAAUUUGGAUCAGAGAGGAUGUGAUGGGAAGAUGAUAAUGCUAUUUGAAGACAAAGAUGGACCAUGAUUGAUUGGGAUCUUAAUUAUGCUGUCCUUGAAUGAUGAAUCUGCAAGUUCAAAACUGAAUUGAAUAUUUCGCACAUACAGUAGAGAUUUUUUGCAGGCAACGGAAUUGGCCUAGUCUGCAUCCUAAGCCUGACUCCAUAUUGCUGCCAGGUGUAGGCUUACUCCGGUAUGGACAUCGAACUGGUCAGCAUCAUAGACAGACGUCCUCCACCGGCAUGCGGAGGACCGCAGCACCCAGUCAGUCACUGCAGCCAGCUCGCUUAGGCGAGGACAUGCGGGCACCCCUCCUCUCCUCUGCAGUGUGCCACAGUGCUGGAUGAAGACUAUUGUUCUGGUGCCCUCGUCUUCCUCUGGCACCACACUUCACCCACCACACCAGCCCACUUCGUAAACAAAUGGCUUUCAGCCUACUUUCCUAUAACAGAAAACAGAGCAGAGUGGAGUCAGCAUUCACAGUCAGAGGCAGGCGCAAGCACCAGAUAAACGCCCCCUUUAAGUGUGUGUAUACUGUAUGUACAUAUGAGUGCAAUGUAACUGCUUUGUGUUUCUCUGUUUAUCUUUCUGUCAUUUUUCACAAUGCACUGAGUAAGAUGGCCUGGAUGGAAUCUGCAGACAGUUUUCACACUUUCAGUUGCUGUGUGAUUCUGUCUGAUGGAUUAAAACAUGGUAAAAUGUGGUAAAUUGAUCUAAAAAUACUCUAGUAUUUUAGUAUUCUUGGUAUCUAAAUGAAUAAUCAUUAUUAGUGAAAGACAAACUUUGUAUUGCUGUGCAAAUGUGCAGAUUACACAUGGGCCUAGAAAUCACCAUUCUGUGUCUCGACAGAGCUAUUUAUAUUUCAUUCUUAUGAAAGAUGUUUGGUUUCAUCUUCUGAUCUGUUUUUCUUUUUCCAACUUAAGUAUAUUUUACAUCUGUCCUCUAUAUCAUCCCCUCCUGCCUCUCACUCCAUUUCCCAGCCAAAAGCACUGAGAAUAUUCCUUCCUUCUCUCUUUCUCUCUCUGUCUGUCUCUUUCUCUCUUUCUCCCUCUAUCUCCCCCCUUCCCAACCCUCUCUCUGUCAACUAAAGCCCUUUCAUAAUGAAUGGCAAGGUACGAUAAUAGCCUUUCGGUUGCUAUAGUAACCAGACAGGAGCUCUGUUCGUGCUGUAUUUUUUGUCCUUUAUUUUUUUUUUCCAAGGGGACAAAUGACAGUGGAAUGUGAGGUGAAACCCUCCCUCUCACUUUCCCUCCUUCUCUUUCUCAUACAC